GCAAGCACCACCUUCCGGUGACAUACGUCACCCCUUCUGCAGGGGCCAGGGGGCGGAGGAGCCCAGCAGAAUCUGGGGCCAAAGCUAGCAGCUGCACAUCAGCUAAGGGGGUCGAGGAGAGCCCGCUUCCCUGCCAGCUGGCCCCGAGGCGGGAGGACUCUUCCAAGGAACUGAAGUUACCUGCAUAGAAGCUUCGCAGAUCGGUGUCCAAACAGUUCUCCAGGAAGCGCCUCAGAGACGCGCAUGGACUGAGGGCCACGGUGAUUGCUUCAGAACUGCUCUUUCUCUGAGGAGACUCGGAGGCCCCGCGAGAAGGGUCUGGGGGCUCAUCUAGUCCAGCCUCCCACCUGGUGUGGACUCCCUUCAGUGGUGUCCCGGACAGACGGCCAUUAAGUCGUGACUCGACCAUCCUCGUACUGGGAAACUCGAUGUCCGGGGGCGACCCGUUCCACUGCUGGACAGCUUUGAGUAUGAGUCACUCCUGAUUCUGAAUAGAAGCCUGCGCUCCUGUCACUUUGACCUGCUGAUACUACCUCUGCCUGUUUUUAGAAUACGUCUUCCCAGGGACAGCUCUUUAGUUUCUGGAGCAGGAAUCGCGUUCCCUAGCGGGGAGGGGGGGGUUCAUCUGUUGGUAGCUACUCUGUGCCAAGCACCGUGCUGACAUUCUGUGUUUUCAGUUUUUGUUUUAAAGACCUUAUCUUAUUAAAAAAAAAUUUUUUUUUUUUACAUUUACUUGUUUUUGAGAGAGACAGAGAGACAAAGCAUGAGCAGGGGAGGGGCAGGCAGAGAGAGAGACACACACACACCCCCACAGAAUCGGAAGCAGGCUCCAGGCUUUGAGCUGUCAGCACAGAGCCCGAUGCAGGGACUGAACCCAUGAACUGUGGGAUCAUGACCUGACCUGAAGUCGGAUGCUUAACUGACUGAGCCGCUUGGGUGCCCCAAGACUUUGUUUAAAAAAAAUUUUUUUUAAUGUUUGUUUUUGAGAGAGAGACAAAGCGUGGGCAGGGGAGGGGCAGAGAGAGUGAGAGAGCAAGAGAGAGUGAGAGAUUGAGACAGACACAGAAUCUGAAACAGGCUCCAGGCUCUGAGCUGUCAGCACAGAGCCCGACACAGGGCUCGAACUCAUGAGCUGUGAGAUCACUGGCCUGAACCGAAGUCGGACGCUUAACCGACUGAGACACCUAAGCACCCCUAUUUUAUUUUUAAGUAAUCUCUACGCUCAGUGUGGGGGCUUGAACUCAAAACCUCAAGAUCAAGAGUCGGA